rnacentral:lncRNA from 10 species
GCAGAUUCUUGCCAUUUGUGCCAAGACUAUCUGGAUGUGAACAUAAACGUCCAUAAGGUCUGGUAGUAUGUUAUUUUGCUAAUGUUCCUGGAAUGACCUGCUUGACAAUGGGAGGCUAUUAGCUCCAUUGUCAAGGAGCUAAGCAACACCUCUAGGUGACUCUCCUGCUGCAGCUCAGGAACAUUUGAAAGGCAAUAUACUCUUCUUUCAAUCUGCAGAGAAUGGAUUCACUCAAGAUCACCCAGCAUUCAUACAUUCUGCUUUUGCUGCCUGAAACGACUCGUCUAUGUCCUGUGCUACUUGCUGCCUUCAUCGUUCUCACUGCUGAGUGCCAGCAGAGCACGCCCUAUGGAGAUUACUUGGACACAUCUGGCACCCUCUGGCACGCAGCUGGCUUGAGACUGGAUCUCACUACUUGCCUAGCUCUUGAACUCCUGGCCUCAAGCAAUCCUCCUGCCUCAACCUCCCAAAGUGCUGGGAUUACAGGAGUGAGCCACUAUGCCCCACAUGUAUUCUCCCAUUUGAGAAAACAAUGAACAAAUCAGUGAGAAGAAGCAAGCAGCUUAUAUUCUUUGAUAUUCUCUGCUAUUCUGGUUUUUGGGGAAAAUAUUUCAUAAUCAGUCCUCCAAAAUUGAAGUGAUGUGAAAGAAUUGGCAGAUAUUUAAAUAAAGGACCCAUAAGUAUAAAAUAAAUGGAAACUGUAGUAAUGAGGCUAUGAAAUAUAUAAGAUGGUUUAUUCAUAGGUAAUACAGACCUUCCAGAGAAAAGUUUAUACGCCUCACAGAAAGGACAGGGACUUUGAAAUUAACAAUGAACUUCUUUAGAAAUUCUGACUUUAAUAGUUAACAUUUGUAAGACUUGAAACAAGAUAUCUUGUUUAAUAAACUCCACAAACCUCAAUUUUUUUACAAGAUGGGGAAAAUAAUGGCUACCUUAGAUGAGUAUUGUGGGGAUUAAAGUAAAUAGAUAUAAAAUAUCUAAAAGAAUGCCUGGGGCAUUGUUAGUGUUGUAAUAACUUAGUUUCAUAAAGCUCCAGUAAAUAGUCAUGUACAUAUUAUUUUUUAGAAGUAUGAAGUUCAGAAAUAUUUGUGAUCCCUUUUCUUAUUUGCAGUCUUCUCAGUACUAAAUGGAAUGACUAAGGGUAUCUUUAAUUAUUAAACAACUCCUAACCUGAAAACAAAUGGAUUACAUUGGUGGCCGACUCACAGAGAAAGUUUAUGCAGAUAGAAUCUACAUGGCCAAUUCAAAAAAAGGACACAUUUUUAGAAACGAUAUCCAGGAUGUCACAAUACCUUGUCUACACUCAUCAAUUUUAUUGUCACCUUGCCACUAUUGAGCUUAGUGUUGACACUUCCCAGAGCCCAGAAGUUGCCCCUAAAAAUUAUGAAUUCCACACUGGGAAAGCAAGGUAAAGUAAUUCUUUUGUUGGGUUAUUGAUGCUUUGGAAGGGACAUAGAGAUAUGGAUGCAUACAUAGCUCAAAAUAAAAGAGAAUUUAUUCUGGAACAUGGCCAAGAUAAGAAUGUCACCUAAGUUCACCAGGCCAUCAUUUGAGAGUAGCUUCAGCAGAUUAAUACAUCAAAAAAGCCAAUAAAACAAAACAUUGAAAUGUAAUUAUUUAUUAAAUACUUGAAGGAAUUACAGUAGUUGAGUUGAAUCAUAUUUUUUUAAAAAGAUGAAGAAGAAAAACACAGCCUUUAAAAUUUCUCUUUCGAUCCCCUUUUUCUCUUUUCCUGAAAUUCUAAACCUCAAGGAAGUUGACUUAUAAGAUGUUCCUUUUUUAAAAUCAACCCACUCUCAAAAUUCC